UUGCCGGAAUAGCUCAGUUGGUAGAGCAGAGGACUGA
rnacentral:tRNA from 1 species